rnacentral:rRNA from 1 species
UACGGAGGGGGCUAGCGUUGUUCGGAAUUACUGGGCGUAAAGCGCACGUAGGCGGCUUUGUAAGUUAGAGGUGAAAGCCCGGGGCUCAACUCCGGAAUUGCCUUUAAGACUGCAUCGCUAGAAUUGUGGAGAGGUAAGUGGAAUUCCGAGUGUAGAGGUGAAAUUCGUAGAUAUUGGGAAGAACAUCGGUGGCGAAGGCGCUCUGCUGGACCAUAACUGACACUCACAGGACGAAAGCUAGGGGAGCGAAUGGG